rnacentral:rRNA from 1 species
UAGGGAAUCUUCGGCAAUGGACGAAAGUCUGACCGAGCAACGCCGCGUGUGUGAAGAAGGUUUUCGGAUCGUAAAACUCUGUUGUUAGAGAAGAACAAGGACGUUAGUAACUGAACGUCCCCUGACGGUAUCUAACCAGAAAGCCACGGCUAACUACGUGCCAGCAGCCGCGGUAAUACGUAGGUGGCAAGCGUUGUCCGGAUUUAUUGGGCGUAAAGCGAGCGCAGGCGGUUUCUUAAGUCUGAUGUGAAAGCCCCCGGCUCAACCGGGGAGGGUCAUUGGAAACUGGGAGACUUGAGUGCAGAAGAGGAGAGUGGAAUUCAAUGUGUAGCGGUGAAAUGCGUAGAUAUAUGGAGGAACACCAGUGGCGAAGGCGGCUCUCUGGUCUGUAACUGACGCUGAGGCUCGAAAGCGUGGGGAGCAAACAGG